rnacentral:rRNA from 1 species
GGGAUGAUGUCAAGUCAGCAUGGCCUUUAUAUCCUGGGCUACACACACGCUACAAUGGGAAGGGACAAUAGGUUGCGAAGCCGCGAGGCGGAGCCAAUCCAGCAAAACUUCCCUCAGUUCAGAUUGCAGGCUGCAACUCGCCUGCAUGAAGUUGGAGUUGCUAGUAAACGCAGGUCAGCCAUACUGCGUUGAAUACGUUCCCGGGGCUU